GAAGCCAUAGCCUCAAGAGUUGGAACUAAAACAACCAAAAGUACGACGGUCCUUGGUUAGAAAGCUGUCUAGGAUUGGUGGAAAAUAUUUGAGGACAGGCCCGAACAAGACAAUGGAAAGUUGCAGACUCUUCACCAAUGACAUAAUGGCACGCUAUAACAUGCAUGGUAGUGGCCGCCAGGGCAAGAUGGCCUUCCAAAAGAUGGCCUUCUAUGAAAUUGUCAAAG